CCAAAAUAAUUCUUGAUCUUUUACAUUGUGAUCUAUGGCAGUGUUUUUCCAACCACUGUUCCGCGACACACUAGUGUGCCGUGAGUGAUCGUCAGGUGUGCCGUGGAAAUUAUUCAAUUUCACCUACGGUACUGUAUUUUCCCCGACUAUAAGCUGCUACUUUUUUUCUAAACUUUGAAC